rnacentral:rRNA from 1 species
AUGGGCGGGGAGCAACUUCGGGUCACGGUGGCUAACGGCGACCGCCUCCGAUGCCAUGUGCUGGCGCGGAACGUGCCCAUCACCAUCGGCGAUGAGCACUUCACCGUCACAUGCGCCGGCAUCGACUUGGGCUGCUUCGACUUCAUCCUUGGCGUCGACUUCUUGCGGACUCUCGGUCCCAUCCUCUGGGACUUCGACGCCCUGACGAUGACCUUCUGGCGUCUAGGCCGCCGCGUCCAGUGGGAGGACAUUGGGGGCGCCUCACCAGCGAUGCCAAAACUUCAGCUGGCCGCGAUCGCCACCGAGCCCGAGCACCCAUUGUUGGAUCACCUCCUGCAGCAACACGACGACCUCUUCGACGAGCCUCAGGGCCUUCUGCCAGCACCCCUACCGCUACCCCCAGCUGUAGAAGGACGAGCUGGAGCACCACAUUCAUCUCCUGCCGGGCACGGCACCGGUUGUAGUGCAGCCCUACCGCUACCCCCAGCUGCAGAAGGACGAGCUGGAGCGGCAGUGCGCGCUCAUGCUCGCCUUGGGCAUCAUCCGGAUCUCCACGUCGCCGUUUUCAGCGCCGGUCCUCCUCGUCCGCAAGUCGGACGGAACGUGGCACUUCUGCAUCGACUACCGCGCCCUUAA